rnacentral:rRNA from 1 species
AGGAAGUAAUUAAUAAAUAAACCUACUUGAUUUGGCGGCAUUUCAUCUAUUUAGAGGAACUUGUCAAUUAAUCGACAACCCACGAUAAAUUUCACUUUAAUUAAAAAACCUAUAUACCGCCGUCUAAAGAAUUAAUAUCAAUAUUAUAUUCUAAAUAAUAAAUAAAAAGAUUAGGUCAAGGUGUAGUCUAUAUUAAAGAAAAUGAUGAGUUACUUUAAAAAUUAUUUAAGAAAUAAGCAUUAAUAACUCUUAAGAAAAAGGAUUUAAAAGUAUUAUAUUAAUAAUAAUAAUAUUUGAUAAAGAUAAUAAAUGUGC